GAUGAACGCUGGCGGCGUGCCUAAUACAUGCAAGUCGAGCGAACAGAUGAGGAGCUUGCUCCUCUGACGUUAGCGGCGGACGGGUGAGUAACACGUGGAUAACCUACCUAUAAGACUGGGAUAACUUCGGGAAACCGGAGCUAAUACCGGAUAAUAUAUUGAACCGCAUGGUUCAAUAGUGAAAGACGGUUUUGCUGUCACUUAUAGAUGGAUCCGCGCCGCAUUAGCUAGUUGGUAAGGUAACGGCUUACCAAGGCAACGAUGCGUAGCCGACCUGAGAGGGGGAUCGGCACCCCGGGACAGAGGAACCGGCCCAACACCCGAGGGGAGGCACGGGUAGGGAUCUUUCCGGAAGGGGCAAAGGCCGAACGGAGAAACGGGGGGGGAGGGAUAAAGGUUUUGGGAUCGUAAAUCUUUUUUUUUUGGGAAAAAAAAAGGUGUAAGAAACUGGGCACGUUUUGCGGGAACCAAAUCAGAAGGCCCCGCUUACCUCCUU
rnacentral:rRNA from 1 species